rnacentral:rRNA from 1 species
CUGGCGGCAGGCCUAACACAUGCAAGUCGAGCGGUAGCACAGAGAGCUUGCUCUCGGGUGACGAGCGGCGGACGGGUGAGUAAUGUCUGGGAAACUGCCUGAUGGAGGGGGAUAACUACUGGAAACGGUAGCUAAUACCGCAUAAUGUCGCAAGACCAAAGUGGGGGACCUUCGGGCCUCAUGCCAUCAGAUGUGCCCAGAUGGGAUUAGCUAGUAGGUGGGGUAACGGCUCACCUAGGCGACGAUCCCUAGCUGGUCUGAGAGGAUGACCAGCCACACUGGAACUGAGACACGGUCCAGACUCCUACGGGAGGCAGCAGUGGGGAAUAUUGCACAAUGGGCGCAAGCCUGAUGCAGCCAUGCCGCGUGUGUGAAGAAGGCCUUCGGGUUGUAAAGCACUUUCAGCGGGGAGGAAGGCGGUAAGGUUAAUAACCUCAUCGAUUGACGUUACCCGCAGAAGAAGCACCGGCUAACUCCGUGCCAGCAGCCGCGGUAAUACGGAGGGUGCAAGCGUUAAUCGGAAUUACUGGGCGUAAAGCGCACGCAGGCGGUCUGUCAAGUCGGAUGUGAAAUCCCCGGGCUCAACCUGGGAACUGCAUUCGAAACUGGCAGGCUAGAGUCUUGUAGAGGGGGGUAGAAUUCCAGGUGUAGCGGUGAAAUGCGUAGAGAUCUGGAGGAAUACCGGUGGCGAAGGCGGCCCCCUGGACAAAGACUGACGCUCAGGUGCGAAAGCGUGGGGAGCAAACAGGAUUAGAUACCCUGGUAGUCCACGCCGUAAACGAUGUCGAUUUGGAGGUUGUGCCCUUGAGGCGUGGCUUCCGGAGCUAACGCGUUAAAUCGACCGCCUGGGGAGUACGGCCGCAAGGUUAAAACUCAAAUGAAUUGACGGGGGCCCGCACAAGCGGUGGAGCAUGUGGUUUAAUUCGAUGCAACGCGAAGAACCUUACCUGGUCUUGACAUCCACAGAACUUUCCAGAGAUGGAUUGGUGCCUUCGGGAACUGUGAGACAGGUGCUGCAUGGCUGUCGUCAGCUCGUGUUGUGAAAUGUUGGGUUAAGUCCCGCAACGAGCGCAACCCUUAUCCUUUGUUGCCAGCGGUCCGGCCGGGAACUCAAAGGAGACUGCCAGUGAUAAACUGGAGGAAGGUGGGGAUGACGUCAAGUCAUCAUGGCCCUUACGACCAGGGCUACACACGUGCUACAAUGGCAUAUACAAAGAGAAGCGACCUCGCGAGAGCAAGCGGACCUCAUAAAGUAUGUCGUAGUCCGGAUUGGAGUCUGCAACUCGACUCCAUGAAGUCGGAAUCGCUAGUAAUCGUAGAUCAGAAUGCUACGGUGAAUACGUUCCCGGGCCUUGUACACACCGCCCGUCACACCAUGGGAGUGGGUUGCAAAAGAAGUAGGUAGCUUAACCUUCGGGAGGGCGCUUACCACUUUGUGAUUCAUGACUGGGGUGAAGUCGUAACAAGGUAACCGUAGGGGAACCUGCGGCUGGAUC